rnacentral:misc_RNA from 1 species
GCCUACUGUUUAAUUUUGAGGGUUCGUUUUUACGAAUACUCAAAAUUAGCACUUUAAGCAACAGAAUAAACUGAACGCAUGUGAAGUUUGUUUGUUGGCGACGUGCUUUAGCACUUUAAGCAACGGAAUUUAUCCGUUGGCGCUGUGCUUUAGCACUUUGAAAACUGCAUAUAUAUUUAGUGAUAUGACAUCUAAUUUGUAAUAUAUAAAGCUGAUAACUUUUUAAAAUUAUCGAAGUUGAUAGCUUCUAAUCUAUCAAACCUUUUUAACUGGUCAA